rnacentral:rRNA from 1 species
UACGUAGGGGGCGAGCGUUGUCCGGAUUUACUGGGCGUAAAGAGCGCGCAGGCGGUCGUUCAAGUCGAGUGUGAAAGCCCCCGGCUCAACUGGGGAGGGUCACUCGAUACUGAUCGACUCGAAGGCAGGAGAGGGAAGUGGAAUUCCCGGUGUAGUGGUGAAAUGCGUAGAUAUCUGGAGGAACACCGGUGGCGAAGGCGGCAUCCUGGACCGGUAUUGACGCUGAGGCGCGAAAGCCAGGGGAGCAAACGGG